rnacentral:tRNA from 1 species
GCCUGGGUGGCUCAGUCAGUUGAGCGUCUGACUUUGGCUCAGGUCAUGAUCUCGUGGUUUGUGAGUUCCAGCCCCACAUCAGGCU